UACUUGGUUGAUCCUGCCAAGGAAGCACACUUAGGUCAUAGAUUAAGCCAUGCAAGUGUUAGUUCAGGUAACGAAACUGCGAAUAGCUCAUUAAUACGCUCAGAAUCUAUUUGGCGGCGACCAACAGGUCUUAAAUGGAUAGCAGCAGCAACUCUGGUGCUAAUACAUGCGAUUGUUUCUCCAGAUGUGAAUUAUGGAGGAAAAGUUGACCUCAUCAGAGGCACGCCAUUCGACUGAGUGACCUAUCAGCUUGUACUUAGGGUCUUUACCUAGGUAGGCUAUCACGGGUAACGGGCGGUUACCGUCGGACUGCCGGAGAAGGCGCCUGAGAGAUAGCGACUAUAUCCACGGGUAGCAGCAGGCGCGAAACUUUCCCACUCGAGACUUUCGGAGGAGGUAAUGACCAGUUCCAUUGGUG
rfam:Trichomonas vaginalis G3, whole genome shotgun sequence.